rnacentral:rRNA from 1 species
UACGAAGGGGGCUAGCGUUGUUCGGAAUUACUGGGCGUAAAGCGCGCGCAGGCGGUCUUCCAAGUCAGUGGUGAAAGCCCGGAGCUCAACUCCGGAACUGCCAUUGAAACUGUGAGACUUGAGGAUGAGAGAGGUGAGUGGAAUUCCUAGUGUAGAGGUGAAAUUCGUAGAUAUUAGGAAGAACACCAGUGGCGAAGGCGGCUCACUGGCCCGGUACUGACGCUGAGGCGCGAAAGCGUGGGGAGCAAACAGG